UACGGGGGGAGCAAGCGUUGUUCGGAUUUACUGGGCGUAAAGGGCGCGUAGGCGGCCAGCACAAGUCAGUUGUGAAAUCUCCGAGCUUAACUCGGAAAGGUCAACUGAUACUGUGCGACUAGAGUGCGGAAGGGGCAACUGGAAUUCUUGGUGUAGCGGUGAAAUGCGUAGAUAUCAAGAGGAACACCUGCGGCGAAGGCGGGUUGCUGGGCCGACACUGACGCUGAGGCGCGAAAGCCAGGGGAGCGAACGGG
rnacentral:rRNA from 1 species